GAGAGCUCUGCAAACCAGAGCAUGAGACAAACGACACCGAAGAAGUGAGAAAUUGCUGAGGAGAGAGAAAGAGAAUUUGUGUACAAAUUCUCCAAAAUCUAUAUAAAUAAUCCAGUGGAAAAAGAAAUCUGUUUUCCGCAAAGCAAUGCCUGUUAAUUGCAGAAAUCUAUGUCUUUUCUGCUCGCAAUUCUACAUUUCAUUGGUCUGUAUUUCGCUGAGCUCCAACACAUUUCUCAAAACAAUCAAAGGAAAGUUCAUUUCUAAGCCCUAAAAACUGGAAUUUUCUGCGGCAGAAG
rnacentral:lncRNA from 1 species